CAAGUUCAACAAAGAUCAUAUUAAUAUGUCAACAGUAUCUUUUUCCGGGUAUCAAGAGUGACUGGUGUAUUAAUAGUGUUUUUGAUGAUCUAUUUAACUUAUGGUAGAAACUCAGAUGCAGUUCAGGUGAAGUUGAUAGCUGAGUUCUCCGUUAACUUCAAUAUUGUGUUUCACAUACCUAACUUUGCAAGUCUAUUUACCCAUUUUGGGAUUGAUUUGCCAGUAAGCUUGUAGCACAUGUCCUUGCAGAAGUGGUUGCAGUUCUUAAGAAUUAAAUGAUAUGUGUCGCCGUUGUAGCUUGCGGCUUGGCGUUCCAUGAACUCCCUAAC